AGGAGUCACGCAGCAGAAGGCUGGAGUCAA
rnacentral:piRNA from 1 species